GCGAUCAUACCAGCACUAAUGCACCGGAUCCCAUCAGAACUCUGAAGUUAAGCAUGCUUGGGCGAGAGUAGUACUAGGAUGGGUGACCCCCUAGGAAGUCCUCGUGUUGCACCCC
rnacentral:rRNA from 1 species